GAGCCAGUGUGGCAUAGUGGUUUGAGCAUUGGACUAUGACUCUGGAGACCAGGGUUUAAUUCUCAGCUGGGUCA